UUGUCAAAUCGUCAUUGUCCAAAACGCUACCGUUAGAGUGAGGUUCUUCUCUUCCUCGCGCAGCUCCUGAGUGGAUGGGUGAGACUUGAGACUUGAGACUCUUUUCCUGAAGCAAACGACAUGUAUUCCUUCGGGCGCCAAAAAAAAAAAAAAAACGACCUGUAUUCGACUUCCGGUUACAGUAAUGGCUACCACAACCACGAGUUGGGGCUAGUCACCGGAAACGAGCCAGAAGGGGGACACGUGGCUGUCGCUCUCGCGGAUCCAGGAGAUGGUUUUAGGUUUUCCACGGAGCAGCAGCCGCAGCUGGAGGCUGAGCAGAAGGUCACUCCUUGUACAGAUUUCGACAUGGCAUCCUUUCAUUCCUACGCUCACGUUGGUAUCCAUGAAGACAAGAUCAAAGUAUCUAUUGAGAUUUUCUUCUAUUUGCACAGAAUCUGUAUUGGACGUAGGAGUGUGAGUGGUAAAUGAAAACCAAGAAAAAGAGAGGCAGUAGCUCCUAGGGAAGACACUGCUUCCAGUGGCUGAUCGGGUUUAAUCAUGUUACUUAACGCGCCGUGAUCUGGGACUUAUGCAAUGUGCUGACGGAUAGUCUCGCUGACUCAUCCCAGUUACGAGUUAAGUGUCUAAAUUUGCAAUUAAGAGUGAGAGCUGGCUGUGUUGUCAAAUUUUAAAAACAUCCAGCUGUGAGCAUCACCAGGUUGUGUUUAUAUGCUCGCUGUUGGUUUAUUCAUUUUAAACAGACAUAACGUCAUGAUAUCCCUUGUAUUCGAAGAUGGCCAGUGUGUUAUACUGUUACUGACUGGUAUGGUGCAUUAAUAUCCACCUCCUUUCUAUUAAUUUCCUCUAAUGCUGGAAACUGGAAGUAACUUUUUUAUUUUGUGCAAGCUUUGCUUUUCUCUCCUGCCCUCUUUCUAAUUGUAGAUUUCGCAAUGCAUGUCUCUUUUUUUUUUUUGGUGAAAAAAGGAAGCAGAUUCUUAAUGCAUGUCUUUAACAGCUUGGAAAUGCUGAUCACCUUUUUAAUACUUGCAUUGGUCUUUUAAAAUAAUUGAUUUCAGAAUUUUUUUAGCUUUUGAUCAUUGGGAACUUUCUCCAUUCAUGGAUUUUCUUUUGGUUGCAACAACCUCAUUGACUAACUUGGGAAUAUUUAAUUUUGCUUGAUCUAUACAGAUCGUGUACGAACAGAAACUUAUAGGGCUGCAAUAAUGCAACAUCAGAGUUAUAUUGAAG